rnacentral:rRNA from 1 species
AUUGAACGCUGGCGGCAGGCCUAACACAUGCAAGUCGAGCGGAUGAAGGGAGCUUGCUCCUGGAUUCAGCGGCGGACGGGUGAGUAAUGCCUAGGAAUCUGCCUGGUAGUGGGGGAUAACGUCCGGAAACGGGCGCUAAUACCGCAUACGUCCUGAGGGAGAAAGUGGGGGAUCUUCGGACCUCACGCUAUCAGCUGAGCCUAGGUCGGAUUAGCUAGUGGGUGGGGUAAAGGCCUACCAAGGCGACGAUCCGUAACUGGUCUGAGAGGAUGAUCAGUCAAACUGGAACUGAGACACGGUCCAGACUCCUACGGGAGGCAGCAGUGGGGAAUAUUGGACAAUGGGCGAAAGCCUGAUCCAGCCAUGCCGCGUGGGUGAAGAAGGUCUUCGGAUUGUAAAGCACUUUAAGUUGGGAGGAAGGGCAGUAAGUUAAUACCUUGCUGUUUUGACGUUACCAACAGAAUAAGCACCGGCUAACUUCGU